rnacentral:rRNA from 1 species
AACGAACGCUGGCGGCAGGCCUAACACAUGCAAGUCGAACGCCCUAGCAAUAGGGAGUGGCAGACGGGUGAGUAACACGUGGGAACGUGCCCUUCGGUUCGGAAUAACUCAGGGAAACUUGAGCUAAUACCGGAUACGUGCGAGAGCAGAAAGAUUUAUCGCCGAAGGAUCGGCCCGCGUCCGAUUAGCUAGUUGGUGAGGUAAUGGCUCACCAAGGCGACGAUCGGUAGCUGGUCUGAGAGGAUGACCAGCCACACUGGGACUGAGAUACGGCCCAGACUCCUACGGGAGGCAGCAGUGGGGAAUAUUGGACAAUGGGCGCGAGCCUGAUCCAGCCAUGCCGCGUGAGUGAUGAAGGCCCUAGGGUUGUAAAGCUCUUUCGCCAGGGACGAUAAUGACGGUACCUGGAUAAGAAGCCCCGGCUAACUUCGUGCCAGCAGCCGCCGUAA